UUUUUUUUUCAAUUCUCAUGUUUAAAAUUCUCAUGUUUGAAUUCAAAUAAAAAAAUAGAAAUAAAGCAUGAUCGCCAAUUGAAUUAUUUUCUUGCAAAUAUGUUUGUUUAAUCGAACUGCAAUCUCAUUUUGUUGGCUGAAAUUGAAAGAAAUUCAAUUGUAUGGAAGAGCACAAUCAAAGAAAAGGUGUUUGUGAACUCCAUAAAUGGCUUGGAAGAAGUUGCUGUCUUUGAGAAGACUCUUAAUUCUUCUAAAACCUGACUUUCUAUAUUCUUCUAAAACCUGACUUUCUAUCUCCUACUUCUUAUUCUUCAAAAUUUCGCCACUCUUACUGCUCUGCUUCUACGAGUUUCAAGAGCUUUCCAUCAACAUUCCAGCACUCUCAGAGUCCUCCUUACUCAUCUGCUUCUUCUGCUCUCACCCUUUGGAUCUCGAUGCUGACUCUCAAGGCCCUGCUACAAUCGAUUACCGGCUUGUGUUGCUGUGUCAUCUCCCUUGUUUGGAAGAAAUACAGGUGAUUAGAGGCUAAUAACUGCUAAUUUUGAUACAGUUCUCUUUUGCAGGAAGACGAAUUUCACAAACUGGCUGAUUCCACGAUCCAUGACCUUCAGGAGAAAUUUGAGGUUGAAAAUAUUGGCUUGCAUCUGUCUUUAUGCAAAUGAAAUGAUGUUUAUAGCUUUUGAUUAGCUGUUGUUUGUGCUUUAGAGGAAUAUGGCGAUAGCAUCCAAAUUGAUGUGCUGGACAUAGAUUAUGGGGUGAGAUUGUUUUGUGAAUAGUUUUUGCUUUUGUGGCAGUUUAAAAGUUGUUGGUGACUUAAUGGAUUUCCCCUUUUAGAAUGAGGUUUUGACUCUGAAGCUCGGCGAUUUAGGCACCUAUUGGUUAUCUUCUCCAGUGAGGGUGUUAUUACGCAAGGGCACAAGAUUGGAUACCCUGCGUAUUUAUUCCUAUAUGAAAUAGUACUCUUGCAUAUACUUGGCCUAUGUGCACAUGACUGGACAUUUCACUUAUGCAUAACAAAUUUUUUGCUUCACGUUGGAAUAUGAUCCUGCGUAAUAUAGGGCAACAUUUUUCUUUUGAUGGCAUCGCCAGUAACCUCUUCCUCCCUUUCCAAGAACACCCUUCUCCAGAGGAAGUUAGAUUCUAACUGGUAUGUUCAAUUCAAAAAUUUUAAUAAUCUAAAAGCUAUUGUGAAAGGAUGAACAUCUGUGCUUCUUCUAUGUUUCUAGGGACUAGUACUACCAAGACGUUCACAAUGCCAAUUUAGGAAACUUUUUGGCUUAUUUAUUCAUUAUUUUCUUGUGAGGUUGAAUUCUUAUAGUUUUCAUGCAGUGGUCCAUCCAGGUUUAGUUGGGAUCAGAACACCAAAGCUUGGGUUUAUAGGCGCACAAAAGCGAAUUUGUUGACGAUUUUUGAAAGUGAAUUGGAGCAACUAUGUGGCGAAUCUAUCAAACUUAGUUGUAGUAAAUUUUCUUGAUUUGCAGAAUAUUCUUUUUCAGGAAAUUUAACUCUGUAUUAUUAUUUAUGUUUGGCACUCUUACCAGAUCAAAUCUUUUAGGAUUUUUUCUUUAUGAUAAUGUAUAUGUUAGACAAGUAUUCCAGUUGCCUAAAUCUAUUCAACAAUAAUGGUAAUGAGAAUUAUUUAUAUUCUUGGAUGUUUA
rnacentral:misc_RNA from 1 species